rnacentral:rRNA from 1 species
UAGGAAAUCUUCCACAAUGGACGAAAGUCUGAUGGAGCAACGCCGCGUGAGUGAUGAAGGGUUUCGGCUCGUAAAACUCUGUUGUUGGAGAAGAACGGGUGUCAGAGUAACUGUUGACAUCGUGACGGUAUCCAACCAGAAAGCCACGGCUAACUACGUGCCAGCAGCCGCGGUAAUACGUAGGUGGCAAGCGUUGUCCGGAUUUAUUGGGCGUAAAGCGAGCGCAGGCGGUUUUUUAGGUCUGAUGUGAAAGCCUUCGGCUUAACCGGAGAAGUGCAUCGGAAACCGGGAGACUUGAGUGCAGAAGAGGACAGUGGAACUCCAUGUGUAGCGGUGAAAUGCGUAGAUAUAUGGAAGAACACCAGUGGCGAAGGCGGCUGUCUGGUCUGCAACUGACGCUGAGGCUCGAAAGCAUGGGUAGCGAACAGGAUUAGAUACCCUGGUAGUCCAUGCCGUAAACGAUGAGUGCUAAGUGUUGGAGGGUUUCCGCCCUUCAGUGCUGCAGUUAACGCAUUAAGCACUCCGCCUGGGGGAGUACGACCGCAAGGUUGAAAC